UACGUAGGGUCCGAGCGUUGUCCGGAAUUAUUGGGCGUAAAGGGCUCGUAGGCGGUCUGUUGCGUCGGGAGUGAAAACUUACAGCUUAACUGUGAGCGUGCUUCCGAUACGGGCAGACUUGAGGUAUUCAGGGGAGAACGGAAUUCCUGGUGUAGCGGUGAAAUGCGCAGAUAUCAGGAGGAACACCGGUGGCGAAGGCAGCCCCCUGGGCUGACACUGACGCUCAGGCACGAAAGCGUGGGGAGCAAACAGG
rnacentral:rRNA from 1 species